rnacentral:rRNA from 1 species
CCUACGGGUGGCUGCAGUGGGGAAUAUUGCACAAUGGGCGCAAGCCUGAUGCAGCCAUGCCGCGUGUGUGAAGAAGGCCUUCGGGUUGUAAAGCACUUUCAGCGGGGAGGAAGGCGUUAAGGUUAAUAACCUUGGCGAUUGACGUUACCCGCAGAAGAAGCACCGGCUACCUCCGUGCCAGCAGCCGCGGUAAUACGGAGGGUGCAAGCGUUAAUCGGAAUUACUGGGCGUAAAGCGCACGCAGGCGGUCUGUCAAGUCGGAUGUGAAAUCCCCGGGCUCAACCUGGGAACUGCAUUCGAAACUGGCAGGCUAGAGUCUUGUAGAGGGGGGUAGAAUUCCAGGUGUAGCGGUGAAAUGCGUAGAGAUCUGGAGGAAUACCGGUGGCGAAGGCGGCCCCCUGGACAAAGACUGACGCUCAGGUGCGAAAGCGUGGGGAGCAAACAGGAUUAGAUACCCGAGUAGUC